GGGUCCCCCAGGGACAAAGGUGGUUUGGUGCCCAAGGCCUCCAAAGUCUGGGUGAAGAGGUCAGGCUUCGUCUCUGAAAAGAUACCCCCAGCUCCUUCCAGGAGGAUGGACGCAGCACUGGGGACCCUGGCAAGUGUACGCCUCUGCUGGCGCUGAACAUGGAAGCCAUGCAUCUUCGAGACAAUUUGGCCCACCAGGUAAGGAACACUACCUGGUAAUGCAAAGGUGAUGUCAUCCAGAAGCAGAGGUCACACCAGCUGAGAUGACCGGGCUCCUGGGUUCGCGGUGUUGCUGGAAGCACCCACAGGGAAUGUAUCCCUCAGUUCCCAUAAAC
rnacentral:lncRNA from 1 species